UGAAACUGGAGAGAUAGCGACAGGUGUUUGACCCUUUCUUCUUCACCUUAUUCCUUUGUGUAUAAACAAGGCAGAGCUCUCGCUCGAGUUGGGUGUCCAAUUCUAAGUAACGAGAUAUGGAAGCGUCUGCAGGAGGAGGAGGGCGGGCUGUAGGCCGCCGUGACCUCGAGGCGGAACUCCUGAGGGAAGUAGGGUGGGCCACCAUCCUGCUCUCCGCCUCCACCUUCCUCCUCUCGACCCACGACCCUCCUCUGUUUCGCCUCUUCUUGUUGCUGCUCCUCUUCCAAGGUUGCACCUUGCUGUUUGCGUCCUUCUUCACAUUUCCGCCGGCGAGGAGAGUGGCGGUUCGCCUCGCGCUGCUGCUUCGCAGGAUGCUACCUUGACCGAGAUUAGGCCGUCAGAGGAUCUACGGGGAGGGGGAGCAAAAAAGUAGUAGAGACACGGUGACCCAUGACCCGGCCCAUGAGUUGGCUAAGCUUGAGCCCGGUUUUGCCUUGGCAGGGGCUGGUAAGAUCUAGGAUCGUAUCGUGUCAGGCUAGGUCGACUCAGGUGGAGGCGGUUCAGUUUACUGCAUCCCAUUUCCUUAGGAGCGUGUAGCAUUUCAUCAUAUAAGUAUUGAUUUAAUCGCUCUAA